AUUGAACGCUGGCGGCAUGCCUUACACAUGCAAGUCGAACGGCAGCACGGGAGCAAUCCUGGUGGCGAGUGGCGAACGGGUGAGUAAUAUAUCGGAACGUGCCCAGUAGUGGGGGAUAACUGCUCGAAAGAGCAGCUAAUACCGCAUACGACCUGAGGGUGAAAGGGGGGGAUCGCAAGACCUCUCGCUAUUGGAGCGGCCGAUAUCAGAUUAGCUAGUUGGUGGGGUAAAGGCCUACCAAGGCAACGAUCUGUAGUUGGUCUGAGAGGAUGACCAGCCACACUGGGACUGGGACACGGCCCAGACUCCUACGGGAGGCAGCAGUGGGGAAUUUUGGACAAUGGGCGCAAGCCUGAUCCAGCAAUGCCGCGUGCAGGAAGAAGGCCUUCGGGUUGUAAACUGCUUUUGUCGGGGAAGAAAUCCUCUAGGUUAAUACCCUUGGGGGGAUGACGGUACCUGAAGAAUAAGCACCGGCUAACUACGUGCCAGCCGCCGCCGUAACAC
rnacentral:rRNA from 1 species